rnacentral:misc_RNA from 1 species
GAUGAAGAACGUAGCGAAAUGCGAUAAGUAAUGUGAAUUGCAGAAUUCAGUGAAUCAUCGAAUCUUUGAACGCACAUUGCGCCCGCCAGCAUUCUGGCGGGCAUGCCUGUUCGAGCGUCAUUUCAACCCUCGAGCCCCCCCGGGGGCCUCGGUGUUGGGGGACGGCACACCAGCCGCCCCCGAAAUGCAGUGGCGACCCCGCCGCAGCCUCCCCUGCGUAGUAGCACACACCUCGCACCGGAGCGUGGAGGCGGUCACGCCGUAAAACGCCCAACUUUCUUAGAGUUGACCUCGGAUCAGGUAGGAAUACCCGCUGAACUUAAGCAUAUCAAUAAGCGGAGGA